rnacentral:lncRNA from 1 species
UGCUGACUCUAACCCGGGCAGUUUGGAAGCAAUGCAGUGAAGAAGUGGAGUCAUGGAUUUGCGGGUGUGGGCAGGGGUGUGUGCCACAGCUUGUGUGAGUAACUCGAAUCUCUGGCAGGUUUGCCUGAAGGCAAUAAUCAUGUACUACAACCAGGUAGCUUAAAGUUAGCAUGGGCAUGCCUCCAUGUGCUUCAAUCACAUCUUCAGUUUCAGUAUAGGCAUAGGAUAAAUGGAUGGAGGUAUAAAGGCAUUAAAUGAAAGCACCUAGUCAGAGACAAAGGAAAUGGUAAGAAAAGCCUGAACAAACAAAAGCAGUAGGGUGAUUGCACGAAGGGAUUAGGGUCUGGAUGUAGGCAGGAUCACAAAGGCUAGUGAUUUAAAAGGAAGGGGAAGGCAGAACAAAAUGUUUUGAAGGAAAAAAGCUACUGCAAGCUUCAAAAAGUCAUGGUCAAAUCAGGCUUUUGCUGAAUGAGAGAUAUUUUUUUUUUUAAAUGUGGAAUUGAAGGAAACAAGUGUAGAUAACCACAUGAGCCCUUAGUAACAACACUGUGACCAAGCUGUGUGGUGAGAAAAACUGACUGGGAACUUUCUUCAGACACAAUCUCUUCAUUUAAAAUCCUUUGUCUAGAAGCCUGCAGGUUUCCUCAAAAUGAGAAGAUUUCUGAGAUAAAAAUUUUUGGCUUUUCACAUUACAAGAAUUUCUUCCUUUAUCCUAACCCAAACGACAAGACACAUUCUAGAGCUUUAUUAAUGUGUAAUAAUGAAUAAAAGAAUAAAGUGCCCAUCUCAGGUUUUUGCAAUACUGUUAAGAUGAAGAAUUCAUAGAGGAAUACUAUCAAAUGGAUCAAGGUCAAAAGUAUAAAGCUUUCAGUAAUCUCAACAGAAUCCAAAAUUACAUGCUACCCCCUCUUUCCCUGGUUGUUCGACAUUUUGCUGGUAAAGAAGCUACAUCAAGUUGCCAGCUGCCUGACCUUGAGGGUGUUAAUUUCUGUCUUGAGUGCAGCUGUGACACUCACAGCAAGUGUUCACAACCAAGAUGUCAAAGGAGCUUUACAAAUUGCCAAUCAAAUACAGGAUGCUUGUUGUGA